rnacentral:lncRNA from 1 species
CAACACUCAAAGAGGUUUCAUAAUCUCUCUUGCACUGUACUUGAUCCCUAGCAAUCUGCAACUUUUCCAGAUACCUAUUUAUGGCGACUAUUCACAGUAUUUAGAUGAACAUGAUUGUUAUCAGCAUAUAAGAUAACUACAAAAUCAAUUUUUUUUUAACAAAAGACAUACCAAUGGGUGGUGUUGGCAAUACGGUGGAGGAGGGAAGUUGAAAUCGAAUCUUGCCACUAUCUGCUCCUCGUGUGACACAUGACUUUUUGAUAUUAGAACUGCCUGCAGAAAUCCCUACACAACAUUUAUGUGUUAUGAGUGGUCAAUUUGUAUAAGUGAAUCUAAAGUCCGAAGAUUCAGAUUUAACUAUAUUUAAAAAUAUACCAGAAAGAUCAAUAUUUGCAAGAAAUUGAGCCGACGGAGAAGAAUUUUGCUGGUUUCUUUGCAUAUGCUGAAGAUGGUCUAUAAAAAAAAUGGUGGAUAUAAUAUAGUUAUAAAAUCAGCAUGAAAACAUAUAUAAGCAUAGUCAUAACUCAAAUAUCAUAUUAGUUUUAGGAGCAUAGUCAUAACUCAAAUAAUCCCAAUAUGACUAAUUUAUAAAAUUAUGAGGUUAAGUUAUAUAAUUGCAGGAAUGGCUCAUCUCCAAUAACAAUAUAACUGCAUGAGUCAAGCAGUGAGAAAAUGAAAAACACUGAUAAAAGUAUCUAAUUUACAUUUGAUAUUAGUAGUCAUUAUUUUAAUUUUCAAUCUAGAGUAUCUUAUUCAUUUUACUUAAAAUUGUUUUGAUUAAAACUUCAGAAACAAAAAAUACAUACCAAAAUCAUGUAUCUUUAAGCUACAGAGAGCUGAUGUGACUCCCUCGCCCAACCUGAGAACAACUAAAAGAAUAUAAGAGAAUAUACCAGCAUAUACAAUCUGAAAAGGCCAAAAGACACUCAAAAU